CGACUCGAGCGGCGAACGGGAGAGUAAUACCUGGACAACCUACCUCGGUGUCGGGGAUAGCCACUGGAAACGGUGGGUAAUACCCGAUAGUCCGUGUCGGUCGAUGACUGAUCCGGUAAAGGUGCUUCCGCACCGGGACGGGUCCAGGCCCCAUUAGCUUGUUGGUGAGGUAACGGCUCACCAAGGCGACGAUGGGUAGCGGGCCUGAGAGGGUGAUCCGCCUCACUGGGACUGAGACACUGCCCAG
rnacentral:rRNA from 1 species